rnacentral:rRNA from 1 species
UACGGAGGAUCCAAGCGUUAUCCGGAUUUAUUGGGUUUAAAGGGUGCGUAGGUGGGUAUGUAAGUCAGUGGUGAAAUCUUCGAGCUUAACUCGGAAACUGCCAUUGAUACUAUAUAUCUUGAAUUAUCUGGAGGUAAGCGGAAUAUGUCAUGUAGCGGUGAAAUGCUUAGAUAUGACAUAGAACACCCAUUGCGAAGGCAGCUUACUACGGAUCGAUUGACACUGAGGCACGAAAGCGUGGGGAUCAAACAGG